GCAGGGUGAGCACUGACCAGGGAGAAGCAGUGCAUGCCCUAUCUGCACCCCUGAGCCCCGCUGACACGUAGUGGUUCCCAUAUGACUGUACUCACCAUGAGUAUGAAAUGCUCAUCAUGAAACUCACCAUGAAAUGCUUUCAUGGGUGCGCACUCAGUAAAACGUGACUGCUCUCCUUUGCUUCCUCAGGUUUGGCUGAGGAAGGGUGACACUGGGAGCGGUACCCUUCAGGCUUCCUCCCAGUGGCUGGUGGGACCCUUUCACUGUGCAGUGGAGGGGCUGGAGCUGGGGAGUAUCGUAGGGUCCCAGGAGUUGGCCAGGCACAUCUGCCUGGCUACUCAGCUCUGCACUGUUGCCGCUCCCUUUCUGCCCACCCCUGCCCAGGCAGAGGAGAAACCUGCCAUCACUGUCUGUAUCAGCUUCUCGUGUUGGUGAUGAUGGGAGCAUGGGCAUGGUGACAAUUCUAAGAGCAGAAAGCACAGACUAUUGUGGGCACCAAAGGGAGUUAAGCUGUAAAGGGCAAACCUCCACCAGAGAGUGACAGGGAGCUGAUACAGGGCUCUGGGAAAUGGUUUGAUCUUUUUCUUCUCAUGGAGGGGACACAGAAUGUUACUGGUUCUGCUUCUCCCAUCUGUGUGAAGUAUCACUCCAGAAGUGACAGUGUUAACAAAUACAGUGCAAGAGACUGCUCUGUAAGCUGAGCUACACAGUCACAUGCACGGGGUUUUAUUUUUAACAUCCCAAAACUACUUGUUCUGUCUGGGCUUGCUCUGUGCUCUCCCAUUCUCUCUUCUUUCUUUGCUUGCAAUUCUCCAUUACCCACCUCAUUUCAACCCAGCUGAGCACAACCAGGAGAGCGAGUGUUUGAUACACACACAGGGACUCUAUGAUUAAGCACCGGGCUCAGAAAGCUCCCCCUGGGCAGCACAGGCACUGUGAGAGAUGUUUCAACCGGCAUUGUCACGCACCGAUUGAGCCCUCCAUCUCCUGCAUGGUGAUCAGCUGCCGCUUUCAUUGUGGGGCCACCUUCCACAUGUGCAAGGAGGAGGAGCACCAAUUGCUCUGUCCCUUAGAGCAGGUCUCCUGCCUCAAUUCAGCCUAUGGCUGCCCUUUUUCCAUGGCCCGCUUUAAGCUGGGGAAGCACCUCCAGGUCUGUCCAGCCAGCGUUGUCUGCUGCUCGAUGGAGUGGAAUCGCUGGCCCAACGUGGAUUCAGACACAACCCUCCACAAGAACAUUAUGAAGGAGACCUUGAAUGAAGAGUGUCUGGACACAGCCUUGGCACUCAGAGACCAGAAGAUACUUUUCAGGACUUUGAAAAUAGCUGAUUUGUUUCCAGAGUGGAGGAAAAAGGAUGAAGUGCAAGAGCUAACGGACGAAGCCAUAGGGGGGGAAGAAGGUGCUGUGGGAGGAGUAGCCUGUAGUUCCCAAGAAGGCGACAACCAGUUGUCUGAACUCAGCCAACGUGAGCGUGAAGAUUUGGCAAAAGACAAAGAGGGAAUGGAUCUGGGGAGUUACAAAACCUGGGAGAAUAUGUUCAGCAAAGAGCUCCUGGCUUGCAAGGUAACGGGCUCAGCAGACAGCACGGGACAAAAGACGGAGGAGGCUUCCAAGAAAACAGGGUCAGCCCCGCAAGCUGCCAGCUCCUCAGAGCAGGCAAAGGAAGUACCUGGGAGUGCAGAAGAGGCAAAGGACCAAAAGCCUGAACAAGUAACACCAAAUACAGAAAUGACAGGACUGGCUCCCUGGCAAGAAGGAGUCCUGGAGAGGCUGAAGAAGGAAGUUGGUGUAGGCGAUUACAACAUGUAUCUGGUCCACCAUGGGGGAAUGCUUAUUCGCUUUGGCCAGCUAGCUGCUUGCACUCCCAAAGAAAAAGACUUUGUCUAUGGGAACUUGGAAGCUCAGGAAGUAAAGACUGUCUACACCUUCAAAGUGCCAGUUAGUUACUGUGGCAAAAGAGCACGACUAGGAGAUGCACUGGGCCACAGGAUGGCAACUUCAGACAAGUCAGUGGAUACCUCAGAAUUGGGAAUAAACCCAGAAGAUCUACCUAAGGCAAAUAUAGUUGAGGCCACACUGCUGUGUGCACUGGAAAAAGAGCUGAAAGGCCAUGAGAUCUCCGAAGCAAGGGGUAUUGAUGGACUUUUUGUGGAUUUUGCAACACAAACGUACAGCUUUCCCCUGGAGCCUUUCUCCUCCAGUGCUGUUCUAGCAGACAUUCUGGAUGAAGAAAGCCCACCAGAACUGCACGUGGAGCUCUACACUGAAUGUGUAACCAGAAGACACAACAAAAGCAGUUCAGCUUUCACAUUUACUUGCAGCCAUUUCUUCAGGAGAGACGAGUUCCCAUCCCACUUCAAGAAUGUGCACGCUGAUAUCCAGUCAUGUCUGGAUGGAUGGUUCCAGCAUCGUUGCCCGCUGGCCUACUUGGGAUGUACUUUUGUUCAAAAUCACUUCCGUCCUGAGGGUCUUAAGGCCAAGGUUAUAUACAGCAAACCUCUCAAAUCAUUUGCUAUUAAGCCAGAGGUAGACACUGUCCUUGCUGAAUCAGGAAAGUUCAAUCCCACAGCGGCUAAUCGAGGGAGAAACAAGGACUUGCUGAGCAGCCUCCCGGUGGAAGUGCUCAAGUACAUUGCGGGGUUCCUGGACAGCUUCAGUUUAUCUCAGCUAUCGCAAGUGUCAGUGCUGAUGAGGGACAUCUGUGCCACUCUUCUUCAAGAGAGGGGAAUGGUCCUGCUGGUCUGGGAGAAAAAGAGAUAUUCCCAUGGUGGUACUUCGUGGAAAGCUCGCAAAAAGAUCUGGCAGUUCAGCAGCCUGUUCUCCAGAGUUAACAAGUGGCAGCGCAACGACGUCGUGUGCAUGGCGGAGCACCUGAAGAAUUGUCCCUUCUACCAAGUGGAGCACAAGACAGACCCCGUGCUGCUGACGGGCAUGUGUGAAUCAAGAGAGCAGAUCCAAAAGACUUUGGUUUCUACUUUCAAGCGCAGAGUCUGAACAACCUGCUCCGCCUCUGCCACACUCCUUUCAGGGCCCUUGAAAAAAAGAUUUGGGAAUCUGGGUGUAAAGAUUGUUGCUUCCAACCCUCCGUUGGACGUACAAAAAUGGUUUCUCCCCAGCUGUGUUUGAAACAUCCUGCAUAUUUUCUUUUUGUUUUUUCCUGUAUUAAUUUCAAUGUUAAAACUUCACCCGCUGCUCACUGAUAGCACGUGCUUUCUGUUUAUGUUUCCAUUCCUUGCUGAAUACAGCAUCCCAAAAAAUAAGCAAUAAGGAUCUGGGUUGAAAACAGCAUCUUCGUAACCUUGAAGCUGGUAGCCAGGAGUGCGAGCUUAGGACAUGAGGUCUGGCUUUCAUCUCACCAUGUCGGGCAGGAGAACCUUGCCAGGAGCUGGGACAUCUGCUGGCCUGCACCACCACUCUCCUUGCCUGCGCUGGCUGGGUGAAAACUGGCCUGCGUGGAUGGACACACACCGCAUUUGCUAUCCCUGGUCUCGGUGCAGAUCUGGGAUGAGGCAGCUGUGCCAGAAGGAGCCUUCUCUUACAGACAAAGGUUGCUGAUGAAGCUGAGCUGAAUGCUUGGUAAUCAGCGUGGUGAUCAAAAUCACACUGAGUGCAGCUCAUCCUUGUCUACACUUGCAUCUUAAGUGAUCCCUGUGAGAUUUGUAACCAUACAAGGAUAUUUUUCUUCUCCAGACAUAUGCCCUCAGUACCAUACUGUCUGAAUUGUGGGGUCAGGGGAUUGAUCCCAGGAGCAGGAGUAGCAGCAGUCAGUGGAAGGCUUAAGCCACUGCACAAAACCAAACUGGCUAUCCUUUAAAGUUGCGCACAAAAAGUCACCUGUCCUCAGAACAUCCCAUAUAACAUCAGUCACCUGAUAUUAUCACUGGUUUACACAGAGAAGUUGGCAGAGGUGAGAACAUCCAGCCAGACUUCCUAGACUGGUCUCUACAUCAGGAUCUCAUCCUUCGCAUAUCAGGUACCUGAUUUUGAAAGAUGCCGAGCACACAGCUGUACCUGCAGACCGUGGUAGAUGCAAAUGUACAUCCAAGUAUUGGGUGCCAGUAUCUAUGCUGGGUAGUUAAAAAUGGAGCUAUCCAAAAUUAUGGAUAAUUUCAGGAGUGAAAAAAAAGCCAAACAAAACAGAUGCUUAAAUAAUAGGGUCUCAGAGUAACUCAGUAUUUGAGGAGGGUGUAAGAGUCCAUGAAGUUCAAUCUGUGAACCAUAUCUCACCCGAUCAGCCACUUUUCUGUAAAUUGGUGUAACUGCACUGAAAUUGUGUCUUGUGUUAGAUAAGAAUUGGGCUUGUUUUACCCUCAGUGGCAGUCUCACUGCCACUGCUGCUAUUACACUUCUGGCCUCCUUCUCUUCAUGACAGAGGAUUUUUGUUCUUCUAUCUCCUUGCUCCUGGAGAUCUCAUGACUUCAGUUCCAGCCUUAUUACCACUGACCCUGCUUCUUCCCUGUGUUUGAGGUGCCAAAGUCAGACUACAGGGAGGAUGCAACCUUUACAAACAUGGUGGUUUAGGGUGUGGGUCAGCGAUAGGAAUAUUGCAACCUCUCCCUCUUGGGAUGAGGCAGGAUGUACAUACAACAUCUAGGAGACUGGAUCAUUUUCCUGCUGGUACUGCUAUGGGGUCUGCUGGAGAGACACAGGCUGUUAAUUCACAGAGAGAAAAAGACACAUUCACCACUGUGAAUAGGUAGGUAUUCUUCUGUAAAAUGUAGAUUUGGUUAAGUAACCUUCAGCGUAUACAGAGGAAGCUGAUAAUCCACAGUCAUCUUCAGGUUAGUCUAAUGAACCCAAUCCUGGAAGAGGGAAAGCUGCACAGGGAAGUGGAGAUCACCCUUAUACCAGUGUGUACCCACCUGGCAACUUCUUAUCUCUCACUUAACACUAGUGGAAAGCUGUGGGCCGUUGUCCUAUGCAAUUUAAUUAAUCAGUUAAUUAAAGGAUGCCAAGCUAGCUCAAUGUUGACAGUCCUGCUCAUUAUUAGAGUCAGCAGAAGCUUUGGGGAGCUGCAAGGAACUAUAUCUGCCUGUCCUUUUUAUCUUGGUGAGCCCAACUCUGGCUUACUUGAAAGGCGAGAGGCUUUGGUUUGGGUUUAGCAAGUCCUUAGGCUCCUAGUUUAAGGUCAUAACUUGACCAAUGGAAAGUUAAAACUCUUCCUAAAUUUCAGCUUGAAGGACUUGAUUAGAAGCAACUGGACAUUUGGUGUUUUUCAAAACAGGUCUUGACACUGGGGUGGAGUUUGAACUGGAAAAGGGGAUCCAAGUGCAAAGAGCAUUGAGGUUGCUCUCUGUCCAGAUGCCAUACUCUGGACCUUCAUGGCUUUGGUCAUGUUUGUGCUGCCCACAAGUCUCAUGAAGUGCAAGAGCAAUAUUCCACGCGCUCCAGGCUGUCAUGUUUUGUGGUCUUUCCUCUUGUUGGAAGAAUGGGUACUGAAAUGGUGGCAUUGUGGAAAUCAGAGAGGCCAGAGCAGAGCAAAAAUGGUCAGGAUAAGAGAGCAGAAAAAUGGGAAAUAGGAAAGGUAAUGGGUUUGGAUAAAGGACACAUGCCUGGUUGUAGGUGUCAUGAGGAGAGGCAAGUGGAGACAAGUAAAAGAGCACAGGAAUGAAGGGAAGUAGGAUGUGGAAGAGAUGAUGCAGUUGCAAAUGGUUUAGGAAGAAAUGGUUCAGCUCAACAGGCACCAGGAGGAUAGGAGCGAUGCUUAGGAGAGCAGAGAUAUAAGGGGAACAGAGAGUGUAUUUUAUCUGGUUUCUACUGACAAAGAAGAUAUUUGGGUGAGCCUGGUGAACUCACUGAAAUGCAGAGUCUGUUUUGAACUGUAAUUCACACAGUGGACCUCACUCUGUGGCACAGCCUCUGUUCUGGGUUAGAGUAUUCAGCCACUGGAUUGCUGAAACAUGAGCUCAGAGGCCACCAUAAAACA